GAUGAAGAACGUAGCGAAAUGCGAAAAGUAAUGUGAAUUGCAGAAUUCAGUGAACCAUCGAAUCUUUGAACGCACAUUGCGCCCGCUGGAACUCCGGCGGGCACGCCUGUCCGAGCGUCAUUUCAACCCUCAGGCCCCCCUUCGCGGGCGGGCCUGGCGUUGGGGAUCGGCGGAGCCCCCCGUGGGCACACGCCGUCCCCCAAAUACAGUGGCGGUCCCGCCGCAGCUUCCAUCGCGUAGUAGCUAACACCUCGCGACUGGAGAGCGGCGCGGCCACGCCGUAAAACACCCAACUCUUCUGAAGUUGACCUCGAAUCAGGUAGGAAUACCCGCUGAACUUAAGCAUAUCAAUAAGCGGAGGA
rnacentral:misc_RNA from 1 species